AAUGAGCCACCAGCUUCCUGUAGCAAGACUGGGGACCAACUGAAGAACAAGGUCAAAUCCAACAGGAUUGGUAUUGCCUAUAGCUCCUUUCCUGGCCUCACUCCUACCGUCUUAAGAUCUGGAUGCUACAGAAACAACGUAGUUCCCUCCCAUUUCUUCUUUCUAGAUCACUGUAACCCAAGCUCCGAGCAGUCUGACAGUAGUAAAACAUGAGUGCUAAUA